AAAUGAUAAAAAAAAAAAAAAUUUAUUUUAAACAACAACAUAUAAACAUUCGUCAAAACACCUGCAGCAGAUUCAUACUGAUGAUGUCAUAUCCCUGCGCGGAAAAUGGGGGGGUUUAACGCCGUGUUCACUUGCUAGUCGGAACUAGGAAAUUCAGACUUUCUAACUGGUUGAACGCGGGCGCGUGUGUAACCACAACCAGUUAGCAUGUCUGAAAUGUCCAAGUUCCGAUUAGCACGUGAACACGGAACGGGAUUGUUUUGAAAGGAAGCCAUUUUGUUUUUAGUCACCCUCUACCUGCCUGCCAUGUUCUCAUCAAGGCAAAACAUUUUAUCAACAUAAAAGAAAUGUAAAAAAAAACAAACAUAAUUGAAUGUUAUAAAUCUAUCAAAUAAAAUCUCCAGUUUUAAACCAAUCCCUUUUUCAUAUAAAACAUAUAUAUAUAUAUUUAUCAUACCUUUAAAAAAAAUAUAGAUUUAACAAUGAAGCAACUCCACCAGCCAACAGAGCCGAGAAGAACAAGAUACAUAUUUUUAGAACAGUUUGUUGACACAGAAUUAAAACUAUGAUCUGCCUUUAUUUCUGGUUUACAUGCUGUACUUGUUUUCAAGAAUAUGUUUUGGUAUAGAACAUGAUAUUAUUCAAUGUCUGCAUACAGAAAACCCCCGUCGUAUUGUUGUCAUAUCUAUACAGAACAUUAUAUUAUUCAAUGUCUGCAUACAGAAAACCCCCGUCGUAUUGUUGUCAUAUCUAUACAGAACAUUAUAUUAUUCAAUGUCUGCAUACAGAAAACCCCCCGUCGUAUUGUUGUCAUAUCUAUACAGAACAUGAUAUUAUUCAAUGUCUGCAUACAGAAAACCCCCGUCGUAUUGUUGUCAUAUCUAUACAGAACAUGAUAUUAUUCAAUGUCUGCAUACAGAAAACCCUCCGUCGUAUUGUUGUCAUAUCUAUACAGAACAUGAUAUUAUUCAAUGUCUGCAUACAGAAAACCCCCGUCGUAUUGUUGUCAUAUCUAUACAGAACAUGAUAUUAUUCAAUGUCUGCAUACAGAAAACCCCCCGUCGUAUUGUUGUCAUAUCUAUACAGAACACGAUAUUAUUCAAUGUCUGCAUACAGAAAACCCCCGUCGUAUUGUUGUCAUAUCUAUACAGAACAUUAUAUUAGUCAAUGUCUGCAUACAGAAAACCCUCCGUCGUAUUGUUGUCAUAUCUAUACAGAACAUGAUAUUAGUCAAUGUCUGCAUACAGAAAACCCUCCGUCGUAUUGUUGUCAUAUCUAUACAGAACAUUAUAUUAUUCAAUGUCUGCAUACAGAAAACCCCCGUCGUAUUGUUGUCAUAUCUAUACAGAACAUUAUAUUAGUCAAUGUCUGCAUACAGAAAACCCCCGUCGUAUUGUUGUCAUAUCUAUACAGAACACGAUAUUAUUCAAUGUCUGCAUACAGAAAACCCCCGUCGUAUUGUUGUCAUAUCUAUACAGAACACGAUAUUAUUCAAUGUCUGCAUACAGAAAACCCCCCGUCGUAUUGUUGUCAUAUCUAUACAGAACAUGAUAUUAUUCAAUAUCUGCAUACAGAAAACCCCCGUCGUAUUGUUGUCAUAUCUAUACAGAACAUGAUAUUAUUCAAUGUCUGCAUACAGAAAACCCCCGUCGUAUUGUUGUCAUAUCUAUACAGAACAUUAUAUUAUUCAAUGUCUGCAUACAGAAAACCCCCGUCGUAUUGUUGUCAUAUCUAUACAGAACAUGAUAUUAUUCAAUGUCUGCAUACAGAAAACCCCCCGUCGUAUUGUUGUCAUUAUCUGUCAUAUAUUUUCACACACCUGUUUCUCAGCCUUAGAAGGAGUAAGUUGUCCCGGGGUCAUGUUGAAUACAUUAAGCAAAGGGCACCAAGAUCAGUGGGUUUACAAAUGACUAUACAUUAUUCACGUGUAUGUGGAAGACGAUUCAAGUAACGUCUUCUGUACAUCUGUCUCUUUGUCUCCUGUCCUCUCUGCAGGUCAUCAGAGCAGUGCUGCUUUCUCCUGUCCAUAUCAGACACAGUGUUGUCCACCUGGUUUAAAUCUCUGUCUGUUUGUGUCCUCUCUUCUCUGCAGGUCAUCAGAGCAGUGCUGGUGUCUCCUGUCCAUAUCAGACACAGUGUUGUCCACCUGGUUUAAAUCUCUGUCUGUUUGUGUCCUCUCUUCUCUGCAGGUCAUCAGAGCAGUGCUGGUGUCUCCUGUCCAUAUCAGACACAGUGUUGUCCACCUGGUUUAAAUCUCUGUCAGUAAUGUUGUCCACGUAGUUAAAUCUGUGUCAGAUGCAUUGUGUAUUCUAUAUCCUGUCAGGGAUGUUAUCCAGGUAGAGUAUUCUAUAUCCUGUCAGUGAUGUUGUAUUCUAUAUCCUGUCAGUGAUGUUAUCCAGGUAGAGUAUUCUAUAUCCUGUCAGUGAUGUUAUCCAGGUAGAGUAUUCUAUAUCCUGUCAGUGAUGUUAUCCAGGUAGAGUAUUCUAUAUCCUGUCAGUGAUGUUAUCCAGGUAGAGUAUUCUAUAUCCUGUCAGUGAUGUUGUCCAGGUAGAGUAUUCUAUUUCCUGUCAGUGAUGUUGUAUUCUAUUUCCUGUCAGUGAUGUUAUCCAGGUAGAGUAUUCUAUAUCCUGUCAGUGAUGUUGUCCAGGUAGAGUAUUCUAUAUCCUGUCAGGGAUGUUAUCCAGGUAGAGUAUUCUAUAUCCUGUCAGUGAUGUUGUAUUCUAUAUCCUGUCAGUGAUGUUGUCCAGGUAGAGUAUUCUAUAUCCUGUCAGUGAUGUUAUCCAGGUAGAGUAUUCUAUUUCCUGUCAGUGAUGUUAUCCAGGUAGAGUAUUCUAUUUCCUGUCAGUGAUGUUGUCCAGGUAGAGUAUUCUAUAUCCUGUCAGUGAUGUUGUCCAGGUAGAGUAUUCUAUAUCCUGUCAGUGAUGUUAUCCAGGUAGAGUAUUCUAUAUCCUGUCAGUGAUGUUAUCCAGGUAGAGUAUUCUAUAUCCUGUCAGGGAUGUUGUCCAGGUAGAGUAUUCUAUAUCCUGUCAGUGAUGUUGUCCAGGUAGAGUAUUCUAUAUCCUGUCAGGGAUGUUGUCCAGGUAGAGUAUUCUAUAUCCUGUCAGUGAUGUUAUCCAGGUAGAGUAUUCUAUAUCCUGUCAGGGAUGUUGUCCAGGUAGAGUAUUCUAUAUCCUGUCAGUGAUGUUGUCCAGGUAGAGUAUUCUAUAUCCUGUCAGUGAUGUUAUCCAGGUAGAGUAUUCUAUAUCCUGUCAGUGAUGUUGUAUUCUAUUUCCUGUCAGUGAUGUUAUCCAGGUAGAGUAUUCUAUUUCCUGUCAGGGAUGUUAUCCAGGUAGAGUAUUCUAUAUCCUGUCAGUGAUGUUAUCCAGGUAGAGUAUUCUAUUUCCUGUCAGGGAUGUUAUCCAGGUAGAGUAUUCUAUAUCCUGUCAGUGAUGUUGUCCAGGUAGAGUAUUCUAUAUCCUGUCAGGGAUGUUGUCCAGGUAGAGUAUUCUAUAUCCUGUCAGUGAUGUUGUCCCUAAUGGAAAGGCAUGUCAGAGCCCUGUCCUCCAGUGAGUCAUGUUUUCUCAUCUUUUCCAUUGUGAAUUUCAUCCGUUUCUCCUCUCAGAGGUAAAAGACAGUGAUGGUGUUUUCUAUCCGAUGCUUGUUAGCUGAGGAGGUCUCCAGCGGUCGGAGGUUGGUAUACCGCGGGGUGUUUCAGGAAGCGUCAUACAGCAAAAGGACUGCUCAUCUUUCACCACCUGAAAACCAGAGAAGAAAACAGUAUUCUAGUUCCAGUAGACAGUGAGGUCCAGUUUGUGUUUUUCACCUAGAUGUCUCCGUACUUUUUCAAUCCCAAUCCAGCCAUUUAGUUUAUAAAUAACACAUUGUUUCUCUUCAGGCUAAUUAUUU
rnacentral:lncRNA from 1 species